ensembl:snRNA U6 U6 spliceosomal RNA
GUGCUCGCUUCGGCAGCACAUAUACUAAAAUUAGAAUGAUACAGAGAAGAUUAGCAUGGCCCCUGUGCAAGGAUGACACGCAAAUUCAUGAAGCGUUCCAUUUUUUU